GUUAGGAAUAUUGGACAAUGGACGCAAGUCUGAUCCAGCCAUGCCGCGUGAGUGAUGAAGGCCUUCGGGUUGUAAAGCUCUUUAGCCGAUGAUUAUAAUGACUGUAGUCGGAAAAUAAGCCCCGGCUAACUUCGUGCCAGCAGCCGCGGUAAUACGAAGGGGGCGAGCGUUAUUCGGAAUCACUGGGCGUAAAGCGUGCGUAGGCGGUUUUGUAAGUUGGGAGUGAAAGCCCAGGGCUCAACCAUGGAAUUGCUCUCAAAACUACAAGACUUGAAUUCGGGAGAGGAUAGCGGAAUUGUCAGUGUAGCAGUGAAAUGCGUAGAUAUUGACAGGAACACCAGUGGCGUAAGCGGCUAUCUGGACCGACAUUGACGCUGAGGCACGAAAGCGUGGGGAUCAAACAGGAUUAGAUACCCCGGUAGUCC
rnacentral:rRNA from 1 species